CCUUGAUGUGUAGGAUAGGUGGGAGGCUUUGAAGUGUGGACGCCAGUCUGCAUGGAGCCGACCUUGAAAUACCACCCUUUAAUGUUUGAUGUUCUAACGUUGACCCGUAAUCCGGGUUGCGGACAGUGUCUGGUGGGUAGUUUGACUGGGGCGGUCUCCUCCUAAAGAGUAACGGAGGAGCACGAAGGUUGGCUAAUCCUGGUCGGACAUCAGGAGGUUAGUGCAAUGGCAUAAGCCAGCUUGACUGCGAGCGUGACGGCGCGAGCAGGUGCGAAAGCAGGUCAUAGUGAUCCGGUGGUUCUGAAUGGAAGGGCCAUCGCUCAACGGAUAAAAGGUACUCCGGGGAUAACAGGCUGAUACCGCCCAAGAGUUCAUAUCGACGGCGGUGUUUGGCACCUCGAUGUCGGCUCAUCACAUCCUGGGGCUGAAGUAGGUCCCAAGGGUAUGGCUGUUCGCCAUUUAAAGUGGUACGCGAGCUGGGUUUAGAACGUCGUGAGACAGUUCGGUCCCUAUCUGCCGUGGGCGCUGGAGAACUGAGGGGGGCUGCUCCUAGUACGAGAGGACCGGAGUGGACGCAUCACUGGUGUUCGGGUUGUCAUGCCAAUGGCACUGCCCGGUAGCUAAAUGCGGAAGAGAUAAGUGCUGAAAGCAUCUAAGCACGAAACUUGCCCCGAGAUGAGUUCUCCCUGACUCCUUGAGAGUCCUGAAGGAACGUUGAAGACGACGACGUUGAUAGGCCGGGUGUGUAAGCGCAGCGAUGCGUUGAGCUAACCGGUACUAAUGAACCGUGAGGCUUAACCUUACAACGCCGAAGGUGUUU
rnacentral:rRNA from 1 species